GAUGAACGCUGGCGGCGUGCCUAAUACAUGCAAGUCGAGCGAACGGACGAGAAGCUUGCUUCUCUGAUGUUAGCGGCGGACGGGUGAGUAACACGUGGAUAACCUACCUAUAAGACUGGGGUAACUUCGGGAAACCGUAGCUAAUACCGGAUAAUAUUUUGAACCGCAUGGUUCAAAAGUGAAAGACGGUCUUGCUGUCACUUAUAGAUGGAUCCGCGCUGCAUUAGCUAGUUGGUAAGGUAACGGCUUACCAAGGCAACGAUGCAUAGCCGACCUGAGAGGGUGAUCGGCCACACUGGAACUGAGACACGGUCCAGACUCCUACGGGAGGCAGCAGUAGGGAAUCUUCCGCAAUGGGCGAAAGCCUGACGGAGCAACGACGCGUGAGUGAUGAAGGUCUUCGGAUCGUAAAACUCUGUUAUUAGGGAAGAACAUAUGUGUAAGUAACUGUGCACAUCUUGACGGUACCUAAUCAGAAAGCCACGGCUAACUACGUG
rnacentral:rRNA from 1 species